UGGGGAAUUUUGGACAAUGGGCGAAAGCCUGAUCCAGCAAUGCCGCGUGUGUGAAGAAGGCCUUCGGGUUGUAAAGCACUUUUGUCCGGAAAGAAAUCCUUGGCUCUAAUACAGUCGGGGGAUGACGGUACCGGAAGAAUAAGCACCGGCUAACUACGUGCCAGCAGCCGCGGUAAUACGUAGGGUGCAAGCGUUAAUCGGAAUUACUGGGCGUAAAGCGUGCGCAGGCGGUUUGCUAAGACCGAUGUGAAAUCCCCGGGCUCAACCUGGGAACUGCAUUGGUGACUGGCAGGCUAGAGUAUGGCAGAGGGGGGUAGAAUUCCACGUGUAGCAGUGAAAUGCGUAGAGAUGUGGAGGAAUACCGAUGGCGAAGGCAGCCCCCUGGGCCAAUACUGACGCUCAUGCACGAAAGCGUGGGGGAGCAAAACAGGAUUAGAU
rnacentral:rRNA from 1 species